CUACGGGUCGCUCCAGUGGGGAAUAUUGCGCAAUGGGCGAAAGCCUGACGCAGCGACGCCGCGUGAGGGAAGAAGGCCUUCGGGUCGUAAACCUCUGUCAGGGGGGAAGAAAUUCCUGUUAGCUAAUACCUAACAGGAUUGACGGUACCCCCAGAGGAAGCAUCGGCUAACUACGUGCCAGCAGCCGCGGUAAUACGUAGGAUGCAAGCGUUGCUCGGAAUCACUGGGCGUAAAGAGCGCGUAGGUGGUUUGGCAGGUCAGGGGUGAAAGCCCUCGGCUCAACCGAGGAAUUGCCCUUGAAACCGCCUUGCUUGAGUACGGGAGAGGGAGGCAGAAUUCCUGGUGUAGCGGUGAAAUGCGUAGAUAUCAGGAAGAAUACCGGUGGCGAAGGCGGCCUCCUGGCCCGAUACUGACACUGAGGCGCGAAAGCGUGGGGAGCAAACAGGAUUAGAUACCCGCGUAGUC
rnacentral:rRNA from 1 species